rnacentral:rRNA from 1 species
UCGAACGAUGAACUGGCGCUUGCGUCGGGGAUUAGUGGCGAACGGGUGAGUAACACGUGAGUAACCUGCCCUUAACUCUGGGAUAAGCCUGGGAAACUGGGUCUAAUACUGGAUAUUGACUUUUCCUCGCAUGGGGUUUGGUUGAAAGAUUUUUUGGUUUUGGAUGGACUCGCGGCCUAUCAGCUUGUUGGUAUGGGUAAUGGCCUACCAAGGCGACGACGGGUAGCCGGCCUGAGAGGGUGACCGGCCACACUGGGACUGAGACACGGCCCAGACUCCUACGGGAGGCAGCAGUGGGGAAUAUUGCACAAUGGGCGAAAGCCUGAUGCAGCGACGCCGCGUGAGGGAUGACGGCCUUCGGGUUGUAAACCUCUUUCAGUAGGGAACAAGGCCACACGUUGUGUGGUUGAGGGUACUUGCAGAAGAAGCGCCGGCUAACUACGUGCCAGCAGCCGCGGUAAUACGUAGGGCGCAAGCGUUAUCCGGAAUUAUUGGGCGUAAAGAGCUCGUAGGCGGUUUGUCGCGUCUGCCGUGAAAGUCCGGGGCUCAACUCCGGAUCUGCGGUGGGUACGGGCAGACUAGAGUGAUGUAGGGGAGACUGGAAUUCCUGGUGUAGCGGUGAAAUGCGCAGAUAUCAGGAGGAACACCGAUGGCGAAGGCAGGUCUCUGGGCAUUAACUGACGCUGAGGAGCGAAAGCAUGGGGAGCGAACAGGAUUAGAUACCCUGGUAGUCCAUGCCGUANACGUUGGGCACUAGGUGUGGGGGACAUUCCACG